rnacentral:rRNA from 1 species
UACGGGGGGAGCAAGCGUUGUUCGGAUUUACUGGGCGUAAAGGGCGCGUAGGCGGCCAGCACAAGUCAGUUGUGAAAUCUCCGAGCUUAACUCGGAAAGGUCAACUGAUACUGUGCGGCUAGAGUGCAGAAGGGGCAACUGGAAUUCUUGGUGUAGCGGUGAAAUGCGCAGAUAUCAGGAGGAACACCGGUGGCGAAGGCGGUUCUCUGGGUAUUACCUGACGCUGAGGAGCGAAAGUGUGGGGAGCGAACAGG